UACGAAGGGGGCUAGCGUUGUUCGGAUUUACUGGGCGUACAGGGAGCGUAGGCGGUUGGAUAAGCCCUCCGUGAAAUCUCCCGGCUCAACUGGGAGGGUGCGCCGAAUACUGAAUGACUUGGAGUGCGGGAGAGGAGAGUGGAAUUCCUGGUGUAGCGGUGAAAUGCGUAGAUAUCGAGAGGAACACCUGCGGCGAAGGCGGGUUGCUGGGCUGAUACUGACGCUGAGGCGCGAAAGCCAGGGGAGCGAACGGG
rnacentral:rRNA from 1 species